CAUCAUAAAUUUUCGACUAUUCCGACGUCGAACAAUGUAUAUAUAUAUUUUUUUUUUUUUUUAGUUUUUCACCUGUUGUGCAUUUACACAGCAGACCAUGUGCGUAACCAUGUUUCUUUUACUCGUUAUGCUGUCCUUAAAAGUACAGGGUGAUUACAUUUCUCUUUCGACUCGGUAUACGUCUACUGUAUGUAGUUCUAUCACUCGCACACACCGGUUUUAUAUCCUUGCAGAAUGUUGUAUCUUAUAUCCUUUUAUAUACGUCAACCGCUAUCAGUUUUAUUCGUUAUUUCUUUGCUAUCGCGUAGGGGAGUUGGUCAUUUUUAAAAUUUGAAAGCUUUUUUUCUUUCGUUUUCUUAAAAAGAAACGAAAAAAAAAAAAAAUUUCUUCCGGAAAUGUCAAAAGGAAAUUUUUAAUUUAAAAUUCGUAGGAAAGCCGUUAAAAUCGAUUUAGCAGAAAUUAUCGAGUAAUUAAUACGAAAAAAACAAAUCUGAUCGUUAUCUAUUUUUUAUCGAGAUAUUAACGAAAAAAAUUUCAAAAUUUUUC
rnacentral:lncRNA from 1 species